rnacentral:rRNA from 1 species
GACGAACCGUCCAAACGUUAUUCGGAAUUACUGGGCUUAAAGGGCGCGUAGGCGGCAGGCCAAGCGUGCGGUGAAAGUCCGGGGCUCAACCCCGGAUCUGCCGUGCGGACUGGUUUGCUAGAGCACUGUAGAGGCGAGUGGAAUUCCGGGUGUAGCGGUGGAAUGCGUAGAGAUCCGGAAGAACACCGGUGGCGAAGGCGGCUCGCUGGGCAGUGGCUGACGCUGAGGCGCGACAGCGUGGGGAGCAAACAGG